AACGGCCGUACCAUGCUGAAUAUACCGGUUCUCGUUAGAUUACCGAAGUCAAGCAUCAUUGGGCGCGGUCAGUAUUUGGGUGGGUGACCACCUGGGAACACCGCUUGCCGU
rnacentral:rRNA from 1 species